GACGAACCGAGCGAACGUUAUUCGGAAUCACUGGGCUUAAAGGGCGCGUAGGCGGGCGGCCGAGUCCGGGGUGAAAGCCCCCAGCUCAACUGGGGAAGUGCCUCGGAUACUGGUCGCCUCGAGGGAGAUAGGGGCGUGCGGAACUUCCGGUGGAGCGGUGAAAUGCGUAGAUAUCGGAAGGAACACCGGUGGCGAAAGCGGCGCGCUGGAUCUCUUCUGACGCUGAGGCGCGAAAGCCAGGGGAGCAAACGGG
rnacentral:rRNA from 1 species